AAAACGACUCUCGGCAACGGAUAUCUUGGCUCUCGCAUCGAUGAAGAACGUAGCGAAAUGCGAUACUUGGUGUGAAUUGCAGAAUCCCGUGAACCAUCGAGUCUUUGAACGCAAGUUGCGCCCAAAGCCUUUUGGUUGAGGGCACGUCUGCCUGGGUGUCACAC
rnacentral:rRNA from 3 species